GUUCCCUGCUUCUCGCGGAUCGGGUCCUUAUAUUCUUCUCCCCGAGUCCACAUUCUACGAGCUGCAAAGCCCUAAUCUUCUUUUACUUCCUCCAUCCCUCUGUUCGCCGCUCGAGCCGAGGUGCAUCGAGUAAGACCUAUCCCCAGACGACGAGAGCCGUGAUUGCUCGGGUGAUCGGCGAUGGGAAAGAAGAAGAAGCGACCUUCGAAGGUUUGGUGCUACUACUGUGAUAGGGAAUUCGACGACGAGAAGAUCCUCGUCCAGCACCAGAAAGCUAAGCACUUCAAGUGCCAUGUUUGCCAAAAAAAGCUCUCCACCGCCGGUGGCAUGGCCAUCCACGUCCUCCAGGUCCACAAAGAGACCGUGACCAAGGUCCCUAAUGCUAAGCCCGACAGAGAUUCAACAGACAUUGAGAUUUAUGGUAUGCAAGGAAUUCCGCCUGAUAUCCUAGCGGCUCAUUAUGGGGAAGAUGAAGAGACAGCGGCAAAGACAGCCAAAGUGGAAGUUCCAUCUACUGGUUUUGUUGGUGGAGUGGUUCCUGGUUCAUUGGGAAUUAGAUUUCCAUCCCCACCUGCAUAUGCUGCUGUUCCUCCUGUAUACAAUCCAGUCUUUCAGUUUCAGCGUCCAACCUGGCCUAUUCCAGCUGUUCGUCCAAAUCCUUGGUUUCCUCCACAAGUGUCUGUUCCAGUUCCGCCACCUGUCAUAGCUCCACAGCAGCCCUUGUUUCCUAUUCAGAAUGCAACAACUCCUUUGACCUCCACUUCUACCCCUGGACUCCCUACACCACCUCAAGCUGGUCCACCUGGUCUACCCACAUCUACACCACCUUUGGUACCUCAACCUCUCUUUCCAAUCAAUAGUCCAGCUGGUGUACCUGCACAUUCAUCACCGAUAAUUUCUUCAGCCUCCCCAACACUGUUGAAAAGCAUUGCCGAUGCAAAUUCAGUACUGAACAGUGUUACAGGAAGUGGUUACAUCACCCCAAACAAUCCAGGUGGUGUAUCAUAUGCAAGCUCACAUAUGUAUGCUUCUGGUCCAAACACUGAGAACCCUUCAAUUGGGCCGCCUCCUGUCAUAUCUAAUAAACCCCCUGCUUCCCUUCCCACUACAAAUGAGGUCUACUUGGUUUGGGACGAUGAGGCAAUGUCAAUGGAAGAAAGAAGAAUGUCUCUAACAAAUUAUCAGGUGCAUGAUGAAACUAGCCAGGUAAGUUUUUACUGUUUUCUGUUAUAUGUUCUGGUGGAUGUGAAAUAGAUUUGCAAUUUGGAUGCAGAUCCUCAAGGUAGGAAUAAACCAAAUCUUUUUCAAGUUCUGAGUGUUAUCCUUCAACGAUCUUACUAUUGGAUUAAUUGCUCCGGAUUUCAAUACUACACUCACAAUUAUGAAUAAAUCUUUUAUGAACUAUGGCCUUUGGUAAUCAAUUUUCUGCUAGGCAGUAAAAAUAUAGUUUUGACUUGGGAUGAGCAAGAAAGAUAUUCCUUUCUAUUCCAAUCCUAACUGUAGAUUUCUUGCCAAUCUUUGGAGCCUCCAAAGUUUUCAAAUACUUUUUACAUAUUAUUUCUAUUGCUAGUAAAUCUUAUAAAACUGACAAGCUUGUGUUGCAAAUGAACGAGGGGUUUCAACCUAGCACCAAGGCCCAUGCGAAAAUGCUGUGGGGCUGAGUGGAACAACAAGAAUUUCUUGUUAACUGUUUUUCAUUGCAUUGGCGACCACAAUUGGUACAGGUCAGCGUUCGUUCAGAAACAAGUUUGCUACAAGUGUAGCUUUAUUGUUAAGCUUAUAGAAUUGCAGUAAACUUCUUGAUACUUUCUUCACUUGUCUGAUUAAUUUUUGCGGUUACACUUUGAACUAGAUGAACUCCAUUGAUGCUGCCAUAGACAGAAGGAUAUCUGAAAGUCGACUUGCUGGCCGUAUGACAUUUUAGAUGUCAUGCUACCGUGGGGAGUUGGAAGUCACUUGGCUAUCUCAGAAUGACUCAAAAUCAUCUAGCAACAAGGUGUGUUCUCCUUUCAGUGUUAGAUGGUCAGCUUGUCUGGAGGCGCAUUAGGUUUGUGAGACCAGCAGGCAUCGUAUGCAUAUGAAGAAUAUAUACAGGACCCAGAAUAUAAUCCCCAAUUUGAUGCCUAACUUUAUGUACUUGUCAGUCCUUGAGUUAAAGUUUUUAUUCUUAAAAUUGUUUGUCAUCAUAUAAACUGCCUGCUAGAUGUGGAAGUGAUCUUAGAGCGAAAUUGGUUGUAAUUCUUUUUGGUUGAAUCGGAUAUCUUGUUGAUUUGUUUAAUUAUCUGAGUUAGUGCUGAAGUAACUCAUCUUACUUUA